CUAUAGCUCAGUGGUAGAGCGUCAGUCUUGUAAACUGAAGGUCCGUAG
rfam:Oryza meridionalis cultivar OR44 (W2112) chromosome 8, whole genome shotgun sequence.